rnacentral:rRNA from 1 species
CAGCGCGGGUAGCAAUACCUGGCGGCGACCGGCAAACGGGUGCGGAACACGUACGCAACCUUCCUUUAAGCGGGGAAUAGCCCAGGGAAACUUGGAUUAAUACCCCAUAAGACAGUGGAGUGGCAUCACUCAGCUGUUAAAGCUCCGGCACUUAAAGAUGGGCGUGCGGCUGAUUAGGUAGUUGGCGGGGUAACGGCCCACCAAGCCGACGAUCAGUAACUGGUGUGAGAGCACGACCAGUCACACGGGCACUGAGACACGGGCCCGACUCCUACGGGAGGCAGCAGUAAGGAAUAUUGGUCAAUGGACGAAAGUCUGAACCAGCCAUGCCGCGUGGAGGAUGAAGGCCCUCUGGGUUGUAAACUUCUUUUAUUGGGGAAGAAACCUGACUUUUCUAAGGCAGUUGACGGUACCCGAUGAAUAAGCACCGGCUAACUCCGUGCCAGCAGCCGCGGUAAUACGGAGGGUGCAAGCGUUAUCCGGAUUCACUGGGUUUAAAGGGUGCGUAGGUGGGCAGGUAAGUCAGUGGUGAAAUCUCCGGGCUUAACCCGGAAACUGCCGUUGAUACUAUCUGUCUUGAAUGUAGUGGAGGUGAGCGGAAUAUGUCAUGUAGCGGUGAAAUGCUUAGAUAUGACAUAGAACAUCGAUUGCGAAGGCAGCUCGCUACACUAUUAUUGACACUGAGGCACGAAAGCGUGGGGAUCAAACAGGAUUAGAUACCCUGGUAGUCCACGCCCUAAACGAUGGAUACUCGACAUCAGCGAUACACUGUUGGUGUCUGAGCGAAAGCAUUAAGUAUCCCACCUGGGAAGUACGACCGCAAGGUUGAAACUC